rfam:Gossypium hirsutum cultivar TM-1 chromosome 9, whole genome shotgun sequence
UGUUAAAAAUUUCUUUCAUUUCUAUUGUUAAAAAUUGAUAUGGCUGACAAAAUAACUAAACUGUUACAUUUGGCAUACCACGUAUACUUUACGCUGACAUAUAGGGACCAAUUUUUAACGGUAAAACUGGAUGUAAUUUUUAACA